rnacentral:rRNA from 1 species
CAGUAGCCGCGGUAAUACGAAGGGUGCAAGCGUUACUCGGAAUUACUGGGCGUAAAGCGUGCGUAGGUGGUGGUUUAAGUCCGUUGUGAAAGCCCUGGGCUCAACCUGGGAAUUUCAGUGGAUACUGGGUCACUAGAGUGUGGUAGAGGAUAGUGGAAUUUCCGGUGUAGCAGUGAAAUGCGUAGAGAUCGGAAGGAACAUCUGUGGCGAAGGCGACUAUCUGGGCCAACACUGACACUGAGAGACGUAAGCUAGGGGAGCAAAUGGGAUUAGAUACCCCGGUAGUCCCUGUCUCUUAUAC